rnacentral:lncRNA from 1 species
AAUUUCCUGAUCUACUCACAACGAAGCUGACUCACGGUGCUCUCUCUACCUCCUUUCUUGAUCUGCUCACAACGAAACUCUCUCUCUCUCUCUCCUUAUCUUCGCCGAUCUACACACAACAACAAGCUUUCUAUCAUUUUCUCUCCAUAUCUGCUCUCUCUCUAUGUGCCCAUCUCUGUUGAUGCACUUCAUCUCCGGUGCCAUUGCUGCUUCAUCUCGAUCGACGUCGCUGCUGCUUCAUCUCCGUCGCCGCUGGUGC